rnacentral:rRNA from 1 species
GAAGGGAGCUUGCUCCUGGAUUCAGCGGCGGACGGGUGAGUAAUGCCUAGGAAUCUGCCUGGUAGUGGGGGAUAACGUCCGGAAACGGGCGCUAAUACCGCAUACGUCCUGAGGGAGAAAGUGGGGGAUCUUCGGACCUCACGCUAUCAGAUGAGCCUAGGUCGGAUUAGCUAGUUGGUGGGGUAAAGGCCUACCAAGGCGACGAUCCGUAACUGGUCUGAGAGGAUGAUCAGUCACACUGGAACUGAGACACGGUCCAGACUCCUACGGGAGGCAGCAGUGGGGAAUAUUGGACAAUGGGCGAAAGCCUGAUCCAGCCAUGCCGCGUGUGUGAAGAAGGUCUUCGGAUUGUAAAGCACUUUAAGUUGGGAGGAAGGGCAGUAAGUUAAUACCUUGCUGUUUUGACGUUACCAACAGAAUAAGCACCGGCUAACUUCGUGCCAGCAGCCGCGGUAAUACGAAGGGUGCAAGCGUUAAUCGGAAUUACUGGGCGUAAAGCGCGCGUAGGUGGUUCAGCAAGUUGGAUGUGAAAUCCCCGGGCUCAACCUGGGAACUGCAUCCAAAACUACUGAGCUAGAGUACGGUAGAGGGUGGUGGAAUUUCCUGUGUAGCGGUG